rnacentral:rRNA from 1 species
GAUGAACGCUGGCGGCGUGCCUAAUACAUGCAAGUCGAGCGAACGGACGAGAAGCUUGCUUCUCUGAUGUUAGCGGCGGACGGGUGAGUAACACGUGGAUAACCUACCUAUAAGACUGGGAUAACUUCGGGAAACCGGAGCUAAUACCGGAUAAUAUUUUGAACCGCAUGGUUCAAAAGUGAAAGACGGUCUUGCUGUCACUUAUAGAUGGAUCCGCGCUGCAUUAGCUAGUUGGUAAGGUAACGGCUUACCAAGGCAACGAUGCAUAGCCGACCUGAGAGGGUGAUCGGCCACACUGGAACUGAGACACGGUCCAGACUCCUACGGGAGGCAGCAGUAGGGAAUCUUCCGCAAUGGGCGAAAGCCUGACGGAGCAACGCCGCGUGAGUGAUGAAGGUCUUCGGAUCGUAAAACUCUGUUAUUAGGGAAGAACAUAUGUGUAAGUAACUGUACACAUCUUGACGGUACCUAAUCAGAAAGCCACGGCUAACUACG